GACGAACCGUGCGAACGUUAUUCGGAAUCAUUGGGCUUAAAGGGCGCGUAGGCGGCGAUAUAAGUUGGAAGUGAAAUCCCCAUCGGCUCAACCGUGGAAAUAGCUCCCAGUACUGUAUCGCUCGAGGGGGGAUAGGGGUCUGCGGAACUACCGGUGGAGCGGUGAAAUGUGUUGAUAUCGGUGGGAAACGCCAGUGGCGAAAGCGGCAGACUUGACCCUUCCUGCACGCUGAGGCGCGAAAGCCAGGGGAGCAAA
rnacentral:rRNA from 1 species